UGGGAGAUCGUCUAAUGGUAGGACGUCAGACUCUGACUCUGACUAUCUAGGUUCGAAUCCUAGUCUCCCAGCCA
rnacentral:tRNA from 1 species